UUAAGCGACUAAGCGUACACGGUGGAUGCCCUGGCAGUCAGAGGCGAUGAAGGACGUGCUAAUCUGCGAUAAGCGUCGGUAAGGUGAUAUGAACCGUUAUAACCGGCGAUUUCCGAAUGGGGAAACCCAGUGUGAUUCGUCACACUAUCAUUAACUGAAUCCAUAGGUUAAUGAGGCGAACCGGGGGAACUGAAACAUCUAAGUACCCCGAGGAAAAGAAAUCAACCGAGAUUCCCCCAGUAGCGGCGAGCGAACGGGGAGGAGCCCAGAGCCUGAAUCAGUGUGUGUGUUAGUGGAAGCGUCUGGAAAGGCGCGCGAUACAGGGUGACAGCCCCGUACACAAAAAUGCACAUGCUGUGAGCUCGAUGAGUAGGGCGGGACACGUGGUAUCCUGUCUGAAUAUGGGGGGACCAUCCUCCAAGGCUAAAUACUCCUGACUGACCGAUAGUGAACCAGUACCGUGAGGGAAAGGCGAAAAGAACCCCGGCGAGGGGAGUGAAAAAGAACCUGAAACCGUGUACGUACAAGCAGUGGGAGCACGCUUAGGCGUGUGACUGCGUACCUUUUGUAUAAUGGGUCAGCGACUUAUAUUCUGUAGCAAGGUUAACCGAAUAGGGGAGCCGAAGGGAAACCGAGUCUUAACUGGGCGUUAAGUUGCAGGGUAUAGACCCGAAACCCGGUGAUCUAGCCAUGGGCAGGUUGAAGGUUGGGUAACACUAACUGGAGGACCGAACCGACUAAUGUUGAAAAAUUAGCGGAUGACUUGUGGCUGGGGGUGAAAGGCCAAUCAAACCGGGAGAUAGCUGGUUCUCCCCGAAAGCUAUUUAGGUAGCGCCUCGUGAAUUCAUCUCCGGGGGUAGAGCACUGUUUCGGCAAGGGGGUCAUCCCGACUUACCAACCCGAUGCAAACUGCGAAUACCGGAGAAUGUUAUCACGGGAGACACACGGCGGGUGCUAACGUCCGUCGUGAAGAGGGAAACAACCCAGACCGCCAGCUAAGGUCCCAAAGUCAUGGUUAAGUGGGAAACGAUGUGGGAAGGCCCAGACAGCCAGGAUGUUGGCUUAGAAGCAGCCAUCAUUUAAAGAAAGCGUAAUAGCUCACUGGUCGAGUCGGCCUGCGCGGAAGAUGUAACGGGGCUAAACCAUGCACCGAAGCUGCGGCAGCGACGCUUAUGCGUUGUUGGGUAGGGGAGCGUUCUGUAAGCCUGCGAAGGUGUGCUGUGAGGCAUGCUGGAGGUAUCAGAAGUGCGAAUGCUGACAUAAGUAACGAUAAAGCGGGUGAAAAGCCCGCUCGCCGGAAGACCAAGGGUUCCUGUCCAACGUUAAUCGGGGCAGGGUGAGUCGACCCCUAAGGCGAGGCCGAAAGGCGUAGUCGAUGGGAAACAGGUUAAUAUUCCUGUACUUGGUGUUACUGCGAAGGGGGGACGGAGAAGGCUAUGUUGGCCGGGCGACGGUUGUCCCGGUUUAAGCGUGUAGGCUGGUUUUCCAGGCAAAUCCGGAAAAUCAAGGCUGAGGCGUGAUGACGAGGCACUACGGUGCUGAAGCAACAAAUGCCCUGCUUCCAGGAAAAGCCUCUAAGCAUCAGGUAACAUCAAAUCGUACCCCAAACCGACACAGGUGGUCAGGUAGAGAAUACCAAGGCGCUUGAGAGAACUCGGGUGAAGGAACUAGGCAAAAUGGUGCCGUAACUUCGGGAGAAGGCACGCUGAUAUGUAGGUGAAGUCCCUCGCGGAUGGAGCUGAAAUCAGUCGAAGAUACCAGCUGGCUGCAACUGUUUAUUAAAAACACAGCACUGUGCAAACACGAAAGUGGACGUAUACGGUGUGACGCCUGCCCGGUGCCGGAAGGUUAAUUGAUGGGGUUAGCGCAAGCGAAGCUCUUGAUCGAAGCCCCGGUAAACGGCGGCCGUAACUAUAACGGUCCUAAGGUAGCGAAAUUCCUUGUCGGGUAAGUUCCGACCUGCACGAAUGGCGUAAUGAUGGCCAGGCUGUCUCCACCCGAGACUCAGUGAAAUUGAACUCGCUGUGAAGAUGCAGUGUACCCGCGGCAAGACGGAAAGACCCCGUGAACCUUUACUAUAGCUUGACACUGAACAUUGAGCCUUGAUGUGUAGGAUAGGUGGGAGGCUUUGAAGUGUGGACGCCAGUCUGCAUGGAGCCGACCUUGAAAUACCACCCUUUAAUGUUUGAUGUUCUAACGUUGACCCGUAAUCCGGGUUGCGGACAGUGUCUGGUGGGUAGUUUGACUGGGGCGGUCUCCUCCUAAAGAGUAACGGAGGAGCACGAAGGUUGGCUAAUCCUGGUCGGACAUCAGGAGGUUAGUGCAAUGGCAUAAGCCAGCUUGACUGCGAGCGUGACGGCGCGAGCAGGUGCGAAAGCAGGUCAUAGUGAUCCGGUGGUUCUGAAUGGAAGGGCCAUCGCUCAACGGAUAAAAGGUACUCCGGGGAUAACAGGCUGAUACCGCCCAAGAGUUCAUAUCGACGGCGGUGUUUGGCACCUCGAUGUCGGCUCAUCACAUCCUGGGGCUGAAGUAGGUCCCAAGGGUAUGGCUGUUCGCCAUUUAAAGUGGUACGCGAGCUGGGUUUAGAACGUCGUGAGACAGUUCGGUCCCUAUCUGCCGUGGGCGCUGGAGAAUUGAGGGGGGCUGCUCCUAGUACGAGAGGACCGGAGUGGACGCAUCACUGGUGUUCGGGUUGUCAUGCCAAUGGCACUGCCCGGUAGCUAAAUGCGGAAGAGAUAAGUGCUGAAAGCAUCUAAGCACGAAACUUGCCCCGAGAUGAGUUCUCCCUGACUCCUUGAGAGUCCUGAAGGAACGUUGAAGACGACGACGUUGAUAGGCCGGGUGUGUAAGCGCAGCGAUGCGUUGAGCUAACCGGUACUAAUGAACCGUGAGGCUUAACCUU
rnacentral:rRNA from 1 species